GGAAAAUAGUUCAGUUGGUAGACUGCUUGCCUCACAUGGGCAAGUCCCUGGGUUCAAUCCCCAGUACCA
rnacentral:tRNA from 1 species